GCCUCGGUAGUGUAGAGCAUUGAACAUGUGACUGUAAAUGCACUCAAUGGUUAGCAUACGAGACUGUCACUCUCGCGACCCGGGUUCGAACCCCGGCCGAGGCG
rnacentral:tRNA from 1 species